UACGUAGGUCCCGAGCGUUGUCCGGAUUUAUAGGGCGUAAAGCGAGCGCAGGUGGUUUAUUAAGUCUGGUGUAAAAGGCAGUGGCUCAACCAUUGUAUGCAUUGGAAACUGGUAGACUUGAGUGCAGGAGAGGAGAGUGGAAUUCCAUGUGUAGCGGCGAAAUGCGUAGAUAUAUGGAGGAACACCGGUGGCGAAAGCGGCUCUCUGGCCUGUAACUGACACUGAGGCUCGAAAGCGUGGGGAGCAAACAGG
rnacentral:rRNA from 1 species